rnacentral:lncRNA from 1 species
UUUUGUUUUCCUAACUUUGAGAUAAUGUUAUUCCAUAUUAUGAACUAAAUUCCCUAAAUGCCUAGGGAAGAUGAAACCUAUAUGAACCUUAUUAUUUGAUUUCUGAAUUACAUGAUAAAUACUUGAUUCUUGUUCUCAAUUAUGUAUGCUUAUUUCGUGUUUUAAUAUUUUCAAGAUAUUAAUUCAUGCUUAAUAUGCUUAAUUCAGUAGAACAAAAGUCCCUAUUUAAGAGUAGAUCGAGCAUAAUUGAGUGGAGUUGCAUGCAAUCCUAGAAAUAGGAUGACAUAAAUCUACUAGAUUAGAGUCAAAUCUAAUAGGGGAAUUCAUAUAUCGAGUUAAUGUGACAAUAGGGGUUCUAAUUAGAAAGAGAUUUCAAUUAAUCAACCUAGAGUCAAUUGUUUUUACUCUCGAAAGAGAUAUUAACAUAAAUUAGGGAUUUUUAUGGAUCAAGGCGCAAGUGAAUAAAUCGUUUAAUUCAGAUUUAGAAUAAUAAGUGAAGUCUAGAUGAAUUCUUUCCUGGGUAUUAUCUAUCUCAUUGGUUUAAUUCGAUUAUUUUCCUAAUUCAUUCUCUGUUACAUUCUUAGUAACAGUUUAGUUAAUUUUAGAAUAAAAAAUUUCCUUCAAUUUAUUAGCUAGAUAAUAGAAAAAUAGUAAGUACUAGUACUUUUAGUCCUCGUGGAUACGAUAUUCCUGACUCACUAUAGUUAUACUAUUAUUCGAUAGGUGCGCUUGUCUUUGUCAUAAUUUUAGUUAGUUUAGUGACCAUCACUCAGCAUCAAGAUAAUGAAGCAUCCUUUGUUCAAAAGCUGAUAGUUGAGCAUAUUUUCCUUCCUCAACGAAAACUCCUUCAAGCACUAUCUCUAUUGGUAGAUCUACUGCACCAAAAACAGUCUCAGGUAUAGAAGCCUUGUGUUUCCCUUCGAACCACUUGUAAGAAAACUUCUACUCUGCCUGCUUUCUCUCAUAUUUCUCCGUAGCCAAUAUAAUUUUAGAAUUUUGAUUAUACGUAAUCUGAAAAAUAAUAUAAGUAUGCUUGAGAUUUAAGGCUUGAAGUUUUGUAGCUUGAGGCUAUGUAGGAUGAACAUCAUUUGUGAUGAUGUUGACCAUGGUGUCAUAAGACUCAUCAAGUUCAGCAUUUGUAGUGGAUGAAUGCAACAACAAGUCUUUAUCCUGAGCAGGCCCAAAAUCAUACCACCCCCUCUUACAUAUACCUUGUCAUAAAGUUUGCUUGCAAGAUUAUUGAUAAUCUUCAGCAGAUUUGCAUAGAAUUCAUACACCACAUCCUUCACAUAUGGUUUGAAAAACGCAACCAAUUAAAGAAGUUCAUUCUUAUCAAGGAUUAAUCAAUCCCUUUAUCAUCGAUGUUUUGUUCUUCAAUAAAAGGUUUUUUUGUAAUAACUCGAUUUUCAAUAGUGUUGAAAUAUUUAAUUUUAGGGAUCAAUUUUAUUAAAACCGAGACAUUCGUAAUUUGGAACUGAAUAAUUACGUGUCAAGUAUAUAAUUGAGAGAUCAAAUUAUUAAGUGAUAAUAAAUUAAACCAAUUAUUAAAAAUAAUACGAGGAAUAAAUUGUAAUGUUAAUUAUACGAGUGAAUUUGAUUAAAUUUUAAACAGGCCUUUAAUGUGUAAUAAAACCAAUGACCAAAAAGGUAAUUAAAUCAUCAUUAAAUUAAUUAGUUGAGUGAAAUAAGCAUCACCAUCCAUUAGCACUGAUGGUUUCUUAAAUUAAUUAAACCAUUAAUUAUUAUGAUUAUUUUAAUUAAUAAGAUUUUAUCAAAAUAAAAGUAUGAUAAAGGGAUAAAAAAGAAUAUUUAUUCUCCCAUUUCUUCUUUUAGCUACAAGCAAAACAAAACAAAAUGUCUAAGUUUUCUUACAUACAACCAAAACCAUGAGCUUGCCAAAGGUUUUAAAUAAUUUUAUUUCAUAACUUUUGUUAAAUUAUGCUUUAAAAAUGUUAUAUUUAAUUAGCCUUAAUAUUAAAAUUGUUGUUUAAUAAGUUUUGGUUUUGUUUCCAUGGUUGGAAAUCUUAAAAAAAAAAUUGAAGAUUUAGUGUUUAAGCGCAUGCAUGUGUAAUGUUGGUUAAUUUAUGGAAAGGUUAUGUUAGGAAAUGCAAUAGGGAGCAUGAAAUUAAGGUUAGAUUAAGUUUUAAUUACUUGAUUAAUUAAGUUUAACUAUGGACCUAAUUGUAAGAGAUAACAAUUUUGAGGUUUAAUAUUGAAAGAUAGUAAUGUGAGGUCUCUAUACUAUAUUUAUAAAUUCGGAUUUAAAUUUGAUUGGGUAAAUUGUGAGAUGCAAGUGUUUCAAAUUUCUGGAAUUUGAGGGAUCAAAUUUGUAACACCCAUCGUUCAACCCAAUCGUUGAGUGCGAGCUAUAGGUUGCUACAUUAGUUACCACAGCAACUACAAUUGAAUUCACAGUAAAAUAAUAAGUCACACAUGCAAUUAAAUGUCAAACACAUUCAUUUUAGGUUAAUCAUUCUACUUCAAGGCUUAAUCGAGCUUACAAAAGCUCUUUCAUUAACUUGGCACGAAAUAAAACCAAAAUGCAAAGUUGUAAAAGUUCAGGGCUGACACCGUGAUAUCCUCUUCCCCACGUUGUGACAUCGCCAAAUAGUUUGUCACUUCGUGACCUCAGGCCACUUGACGUCACAACGUGACUCACUAUCAGUCGACGUUGUGAUGAGGUAAGUUGGUUGUUAAGAUGUGGACUUUGUUUUUUGGUAAAAAUGAACCAUUUAAUACCUAUUUCAAAGUUUCCAACCAAACCUAUUAGCAUAUUCAACAAAAACCAAUUUCAAUUGAAUCAAAACAUACCAAAAAUAUGCCAAAUAGUCAAGCAUCUAUGUUCAAGUUCUUAUCUAGUCAAUCACUACUUAUAUUCCAUGUAAACCUAAACAAUUCAAUGCCAUUACAACCUAACUUUCAAGUCAUGCAAUUUCCAAACUUUACAUAUGUCAAACCACCUUGAAACAUACUAUUAACAACUUAUGAACACAUAAACAUAUCCAAAACUUAUAGGCAUUUAACAUACCAUCAAUAUCUAAAUUAGGCCACAUUUUUCAAGCAUACUUCAAGUUAAUCAUGUUCAAAUGCAUUUCUAUCUCAUUCACCUAUACCAUUUCUAUCUCAUUCAAUGUUAUUCCAUAUGUUCAUCACAUCACUAAGCAUAAAAUGCAUAUAUGUUCAUCUCCAUAUGUGAAUCAAAACUCCAAAUCAUCACAAGUUACCAAACUUAUCAAGAUGUCUUAUACAUCAAGGAUAGUGUAAGCUUCAAGAAAAUUCGGUUUGACGUGAUUCGCAAGGUGACGAUCUAUAAGGAAAAGAGAAAAAAAACUAGGUAAGCUAAUUAGUUUAUCAUUAACAACCAAAAAUCAAUUACUAUCGAGUUAAAUUUACAGUUUAUUCAUAAAAUCCUAUUUACAUGCUCCUAAUCAAUCACUUGUAUUUCUACAAGCUCAAGCACACAUAAGCACACAAAAUUAAAAUUAAUUAUUAAGAAAAUAAAAGCAAGUGACAAAAAUUUAAAAAUUUUGAAAAAAAUUGAAAAAUUCUAUGUUAUCCCUGUAUUAACCCAAAUUUACCCGACCCAGAAAAUAAAAAAACAAAAAAUAAAAAGUCCUUUACAGUCCAUUUACAAAUCACGCCAGUAGCCCAUUACACUUAAAAGCCCUUUAACCCGAACUAGACCCAAAUUAGUGAGGCCCAGGAAGGCCCAAUGCCUAAAUUGAAUCAGGAAACCCUAGGGUUUCCAGAAACUUCGCGCCGCAAACGCCAAACGUCAAGCCACUUUAUCUCGCGCCGUUUCGGUGACCCCUCAUCGACACUUCCAUCGGCGUUGUGACUACUGUAAUCUACGCACAAAUCAACACCCUAUCGUUGCUAAAUUUCUCGCUGGUACCUGCAAAAAAGGAAAGAAGAACAAUAAAGGCAAUACAAAUAUGGCAGGGAAUAAAAUCAAACAUGUUAAAUAUUAUUUUCAGUGGCUAUAAAAGGCCGAAUCAAAAUGAUGUAAAGCACGGUUUUUUUUAUAAACGGAGAUAUACAAUAAAGAAUACAAUAGUUUAUCAAAGAAAAUAGAGGUGAUUAGUUCUUUACCUUUUCUUCUUGUUGCAAACAUAUACAAAUGUUAUUAAAAUAAAAGGAAAGGGAGUUUACUGUUGGAUUUGCGCUAAAAAUCGGAAGCUUUUCGGCUUUCGGCCGCCGUAUCUACCGGAGUUGAUGACGGCACGUGGGCGCGUGAGUCCGAUGACCGGGGCUUGGCCCGACGGAGGCUGGACCCGGGAGGACUUCCUCUCUUUUCCUCUUUCAGAGGGUUUCUGUUCUUCUUUUUUUAAAACCAGGGGCUAAAAUGAUUUUUUAAGUUUUUUUUACAUUUAUAAGCUACCUAUAAGACGUCGUUUUGGGAUGACCGUUUAGUGACAAAAACGGUGUCUUUUCAUGGCUGAGGAUCCGCGCGUUGAACCGUGACCCGGGGAGGAUCCGCGCAUUUUUGGUAAAUGGGAAAAUUACUGUUUGAGCCCUUCCGCAUUUUUCGUUUUUUAAACGUCGUUUAAUUUUAAAUUUCUUUAUUUUUAAAUCUGGCCCUAAUAGUUUGUUUCUGUUUCAAUUUGGUUCCUGAACCCUUUAAAGUGUAAUUUUCGAAACGGCGCCGUUUUGGGAUUAGGGAUAAUUGCCCAGUGAGUCCCUUGUGUUUUGGCGCGCGCUUUAAUUGGAUCCCAAAUUCAUUUUAUUUUAAAAUUAACCCUAAAGUUUUGUUUUUAUUUCAUUUUAAUCCUUUUGAUUUUUUUAUAAAUUAUUUAUUUUAAAUAUAAUAUACAAUAUUUAUUUUUACCAUAAACAUUAUCUAUAUAUGAAAAAUUAUUAUAUAUAUUUUUUUAUUUUUUAUUUGUGUAUUAUUUGUUAUAUCAUUUACAUUUCAUUAUAUAUUUUGAUUUAUACAUUUUAUUAUAUAUCAUUUUAUUAUAUAUUAUUGUUAUUUUAUUAUAUAUUAUAAUUAUUCAUUAUUUAUUAUUAUAUAAUUUUAAAAUUUGUAAAUUAUUAUUAAAUAUUGCAUUUUUAUAUCAUUAUUAAAAUUUAGUAUGUAAUACACUAAAAUUUAUAAUAAAGUUUUAUUCCUAUUAUACAAUAUUAUUUUAUAAAACAUAUUAAAUUAUUACAUCAUAUAGUCUAUUUUUUAUUAAUCAUAUAUAAAAUCUUCUUCUUUACUAUUUAUCUAUGGUUUUAAAUAUUUUUUAAAAAUACCUCAUUUAAUUUUUAUUGUAUUUUAUUUUUUAUAUAUGUUUAUAAUUUUUUAUUUAUUUUUGCGUCCUUUUGGAUUUAUUUAGUAUCGUUUUAAUAUGUUCUCAAAAAUUAUUUGUAUUUUUAUGUUAUUUACUAUUUAUGUAUAUUUGCAUGAAAAUUGACUAUUUAUGUUGUUAUUUUAAGUUAUAUUUAUAUAUCAUAUUAUUGUACACAUAUUAUGCAAUUUAUAUUGUUAUAUAUUUGUCGAAACCCUUUUUUAAAUCGAGUUUUGGAAAAUGGGAAUCGACUUUAAAAAACGAAAAUGGGAGUCGCCACCAAUCUUUUUAGGUGUGAUUGGAUCACCUUUAAAAUAUUUUGUUUUAAAAUCAUUAGUUUUGGUCUACGAAAUAAAAGAACGGGUUUGGGAGUCGGUUACGUACGAGGAAGGAUUAACACCCUUGUAACGCCCAAAAAUUAGUACCUAAUUAAUUAUCAAAUGUCUUUAAGGUCGGAAAUUUAAGAAUUUUAAGAUACAAUCCUCUUUAAAAUAUUUUGAUUUUGAAAGUUGGGGUUCACUUGUAUCAAAAUAUUGACACUAAGUUAGCAUUUUGGAAAUCCCUAUCUCGAAAACAACAAAACGCCAUAUCUAGUAAGUUAGGACACAACGCUUUGAAAUUUCCAAGACAGUUGCUCGUAUUUUGAAAAUCUUUAAAAACUUAGAAGGGUACCUGACUAUUCGAACUCAACGAGAAAAGUUGCAACCCAAUAAGUUAGGGCACUACUUUUCUCGAUGUUUCCAAAUACCAAGCAUUGCCUUUUUAUUUUUUGAAAACUUUGAAGUCUCUUUUUUAAAACCGAUGCAUGAAGGAGCAUAUUAACAUAACAUACGAGAUAACAUAUAAUUCAACAUAAAACAUAAUACAUAUUUAAAAAGAAUAGGUAAAAAUUCCUAAACACAUAAUUCAACAUAUAUUUAAACACAAAUGAUGUAUGAUAUACAAUUUUAACACAUAUAUAAAAAAAUGCAUUUGAAAAUAAAUUAUAAAAGUCUAAGAUAUUACAUAACAUACAAAAUACAUAACAUAGCAGUAAUACAUUAAUUCUAAAGUAAAAGCAAAUAUUGUAUAAUAAUAAAAACAUAAGUUUUUUUUUAAAUAUAUGUAUAAUAUAAACAAUUGAAAAAUAGAAUUAGCAUAUAAAAUGUGAUAUUUAAUGAUAGAUUUAAAAUAUAAUAUAUAAUAAAAAAUAUAUUUAUAAGAAAAAUACUUAUAUAAAAAUAUAAAAUAUAUUGGUUUAGAAAAAUAAUGUAUAAAAUAUCAAAUAUGUAAAAUAAUUUAUAUUUAUAAUAAUUAUAUAAUAUAUAUAAAUAUAAGUUUAGAAUAAUGUGAAAUAAGUAAUUAAUGAUGAAAUAUACGUAUUAUACAAAUUACAAUAUUAUAAUAUCUUCAAAAUGUGUAAUAAUAGAAUAUAAGUAAAGUAAUUAUUAACAUAUAAAUAAAAAUAAGUAUAUAAUAUAAGUUAAAACCUUUAAUGAUAAUAAUGUAUAAAUAAAAAACAUAUAAUAGUAUAAAAAAUGACAUAAUAUAAAAUAAUUAUAAUAUAUAAUAUGAAAGUAUAUAUGUAAAAAUAAUGUAUAAUAUAUAAAUAAUUAAUAAAGAUAUAAUACAAGUAAAAAUAUAUAAAUAAUAAUGUAAAAUAAUAAUAAUUUAAAAAUAUAUAAUAAAUAAUAAUAAUAUGAAAUAAUAUAUGGUUAAUACAAUAGUGUAAAGAUAUAUAAACAUUAUGUGAUAAAAAUAUACUAUAAUAAAUGAUAUAUGUUAAAAUAUAUAUUAAUAUGAUAAUAGGAAGAUAUUAAGUAAUAUAAUAAAAUAUAAUUAAAUAAUAUAAAAUAUAAUACAUAUAUUCAUAUUAAAAUAUAAUAGUAUAUGUAUAAAGUUUUAAAAUAAAUAAGUUAUAAAUAGAUUAAAAGGGAUAAAAGGGGUUAAAUUGAACGUAAAUAAAAAGUCAAAGGCUAAUUUAAAAAGAGAAUAAUUGAGAUCAGACCUAAUUGAAACGGCCAUUGAAACUCUAGGGACUCAUCAGGAAAUUUUCCCUUGUCCCUAAACGGCAUCGUUUUAAUCCAGGACUUUAAACAGUUACUGUAAUGACUAAAUUAAAACUGAAGCAAAAUAUUAGGGCUAAAUCAUAAAUAAAAUAAAACAAAAGUUUAAACACAAAAAGGUGGAAGGACCAAUUGGGUAAUUAACCCAAUCCUAAAAAAACACGCGGAUCCUCCCCGGGUAUUCGGGUCAACGCGCGGAUCCUGGGGCCUUAAAACGUCGUCAUUUUAAGCUUAUCAGACUAAGCUAAAACGAUGUCGUUUCUCUUGGGCUAUAUAAGCCAAAUUUCGACCAAAAAAGUCAUUUAGGAGCCUGGUUUAAAAAAAAUCAGAGAAAUCCUCUAUGGGAGGAUUUGGGGUCGGCCUUAGAGCCUCGUUGGGCCCUUGUUCUCAGUCGUUACGCACCCAUGCGCCUCCGCGCACGGUGAUCGGAGGGCUAAAAAACCCUCGUCUUUUCUGGGCGAAAAUACAGGUAACUCUUCCGUUUUAAUAUUUUAGUAGUCGAUUUGCUGAUGAUGCUAAAUAUUUCAUAAAAAAACAGUAGAACAUGAAGUAUAUAUAUCACCUUAAAACUGCUUGUAACCCUCUGAAUGAAUAUGUGUAAGUAUAUUUUCUAUUCUGUCAAAAUCCGGUCCCUUUACAUUGUUUUGAUUUGGGUUUUUAUAGCCACUGCUGUUAUUACAUAAACUAGGAAAGAAAUCUUUUUAUAUCUUUCCAUAUUUAUUUUGUUUGCUGCCGUGGUUCUUUCCUUCUUUCGCAGGUAUCAACGGAGAAUCUGGCACCGGAGUUGAUUCGGCCGUAAAUCACGGCGAGGCCAGAGUCACGGCGCUCGGUCGUGAGAGGGACAAGCUUCUGGACAACGCAUUAAUGGUGUGUCAAUGUGCAUUGAUGGCCUUGAUUUGGAGAGUUGAACAGAUGCUCCCCGAGGCUUCCAGAAGAUGCUGCGGCGCUGCAGUCUUCAAGAAACCCUAGGGUUUCUUGUUUCUCUAAAGUCACUUGGGCCACUUGGGCCUCUGGGUGUAAUGAGACUGCUGGGGCCAUUGUGUUUUGGUUAAGGGUAUAACGGGUAUUAAGGUAGUUUAGGCUAUUGGGUUGUAACCGGGUAUGAGACUUUUGCAUUUGGGCUUAUGAGGUCCUGAGGCCUAUUUAUUGUAAAUGGACUGUUUAAAUAAACAUUCAUUUAUUUUCUAUUCUUGGUUUUAUUUAUUUAACCAUGGGCCCAGGCAAAUUUGGGCUAUUACAAUAUUCAUUAUGCUCUAUGUUGUAUUUUGCAUGUAACAAUAAUGCAUGUAUAUUUAUGUUAUUUAUGAUCAUAUAUGCAUAAAAUGAUAAUGUAUAUUGUGUAAUUUAUGUCAUUAUUUAUCAUUUUUUUAUAUUAUAUUUGCAUGGAAUGAUAAAGUAGGUAUCAUGUAGGUUAAUUUAUUUAAUAUUGAUCCUUUGUAAUAAGUUGAAUGCAUCAUCACUUUAAAGAACUUUUAUAUCUCAUUCGAUCCAAAAGAAUAUAAAAAAUAAGGCAAUGUUUUUUGGUACUUAGGAAUUCGGGAAGUAGUACCCUAACAUGCUGGGUUACGAUUUCCCGUUUGUCUAAAUGCCUAAAAUAUCCUUCUAAAUAAGUUUUGAAAAUCACAAGAUGAUUUCAGUUACGAAAGUUUAAGAACAUCGUGUCCAAUCAUGCUGGAUGUGAUGUUUAUAUUCUUUUGAAGUGAAGGAUUCUUGAUUUUUAACUCAAAUUAUUACGGUUUUAAAAGAGAUCUUAUUUCUAAAUUCUUUUAAGCUUUUGAAGCGAAGGAUUCUUGAUUUUUAACUCAAAUUAUUACGGUUUGAAAAGAGAUCUUAUUUCUAAAUUCUUUUAAGCUUUUGACAUUAAGACAAAACUAUUCAAUUUGGUACCAAUUUUGGGCGUUGCGAGGGUGCUAACCCUUCCUCGUACGUAACCGAAUCCUGAGCCCGUUUUCUCAUAAUUUCGUAGACCAAAAUGUUUUAUAAGGUGAUCCAAUCACACUUUAAAAGGUUGGUGGCGGCUCCUGUUUUCAAAAUACCCUCCCCGUUUAAAAGAGGUUUUGACAACCCCCAUAUUUUAUUUGGCACAUUGUCCUUAAUGUGCUUAAAAAUAAAAUAAGGAACGAAAUUACCUAAUUUGGCGUGAUAGUCCAUGAACAAUGUUGGGUAGCCUUGUCCUCCCCGAUUUAACUCCAAAAAAUUUUGUAUCAUCCAAAAUAUAGGAUUCUUACACAGAAAAACACAUUUUUUUAAAGAAUCUUAACUCGAUGUCGCAACAUUAACUUCAAAGUUCCUAGCUAAUUGGUUCAAAAUCUAGUAUCGUGACAUUGAGAUUCAAUUUUGUGACAUUCUCCUUGUAUUUUAACUUUGAAGUUCCAUGUCAUGACGCCAGAGUUCAUCGUCGUGACUUUGAGUCUAGUUCUAUGCUUCUUCAAGUUUUUUUUUUGAGAUGUUCCACAAUAUCAACACUUACUUGUGGAAAACAACACAAACAAUCAAAAGGAACAAAACAAAAUUUUAAAAAUAAAAAAUAUAUAUUAAAUAAAUAAAUAAUAAAAUAAAAGGAAAAACUAGAGAAAAAAAUAAAAGUUCUUUUUAAAGACUAGGACGAUCUGCAUCACAACCAUAGAAGAAUUUUCAGCUGGUCCUCGACACUUUGAUCCUUCAUUUGUUUCAUUGUUGAUGUAUCUGAACCAAUAAUUUUGGUCGAUUCUGAUGAUAUUGCCUUAGUUUUUACCGGCGUGACAUCUACAUUACAAGCUAUUUAAUGCCAAAGUUGAGCCAACCGCAAAUGGUUUUUUGGGAUAUUAUUAGCUCGAGCUUUUUCACCUCAAUGUCACGUAAGGAUCUAUCAACCUAAGUUUUGUCAUCGUCAUCGAACGAGAAUGAUAUGAACUCGUCAACCUCUUCGGUUGGCGUUUCCUCUUCUAUGGCCAGAAGGUGUGUCGACUCAUUGACACCUUCACUUAGAAUCAGUUUAAGCUCCAAGUUAAUGGUUAAUGUUACAUCUACUUCUAAAUCUACUAUUACAUCUAUGCCAAAGUUAAUUAGAUCAAAGACUACUUCGGCGAUCUUCAAUUCUUUCUCGUACCCAAUUUCAAACUCUAGCCAACUUUUGUAGUCUACUUACGGAUGGUCGAUAGUGCUACUAUAGGUUUCAUAAUUACAGUUGGAGGCAUCAUGUACAACCUUUUCCAAUGGGAUUUCUACUUCUGCUUGCCUUCGGAGCAAUUUCUCUAACUAGUCCACCUAUUUUUGAAUUCUUUCUAGGUUAGUUUGGAAUGCAUCCGACUCAGGAUGGAAUGUGGAUAAAUAUUCUCCACACCUUCGAUCAUGACUCCGCUGAUUCAUUGAAACUCCAAUUCUUCUUCUUUACUAUGGUUUAGGCUAUUGGGUUGUAACCAUAAAAUCUUCUUCUUUACUAUUUAUCUAUGGUUUUAAAUAUUUUUUAAAAAUACCUCAUUUAAUUUUUAUUGUAUUUUAUUUUUUAUAUAUGUUUAUAAUUUUUUUAUUUAUUUUUGCGUCCUUUUGGAUUUAUUUAGUAUCGUUUUAAUAUGUUCUCAAAGAUUAUUUGUAUUUUUAUGUUAUUUACUAUUUAUGUAUAUUUGCAUGAAAAUUGACUAUUUAUGUUGUUAUUUUAAGUUAUAUUUAUAUGUAAUAUUAUUGUAUACAUAUUAUGCAAUUUAUAUUGUUAUAUAUUCAUUAUGCUCUAUGUUGUAUUUUGCAUGUAACAAUAAUGCAUGUAUAUUUAUGUUAUUUAUGAUCAUAUAUGCAUAAAAUGAUAAUGUAUAUUGUGUAAUUUAUGUCAUUAUUUAUCAUUUUUUAUAUUAUAUUUGCAUGGAAUGAUAAAGUAGGUAUCAUGUAGGUUAAUUUAUUUAAUAUUGAUCCUUUGUAAUAAGUUGAAUGCAUCAUCACUUUAAAGAACUUUUAUAUCUCAUUCGAUCCAAAAGAAUAUAAAAAAUAAGGCAAUGUUUUUUGGUACUUAGGAAUUCAGGAAGUAGUACCCUAACAUGCUGGGUUGCGAUUUCCCGUUUGUCUAAAUGCCUAAAAUAUCCUUCUAAAUAAGUUUUGAAAAUCACAAGAUGAUUUCAGUUACAAAAGUUUAAGAACAUCGUGUCCAAUCAUGCUGGAUGUGAUGUUUAUAUUCUUUUGAAGCGAAGGAAUCUUGAUUUUUAACUCAAAUUAUUAUGGUUUUAAAAGAGACCUUAUUUCUAAAUUCUUUUAAGCUUUUGAAAUUAAGACAAAACUAUUCAAUUUUGUACCAAUUUUGGACGUUGUGAGGGUGCUAACCCUUCCUCGUACGUAACCGACUCCCGAGCCCAUUUUCUCAUAAUUUCGUAGACCAAAAUGUUUUAUAAGGUGAUCCAAUCACACUUUAAAAGGUUGAUGGCGGCUCCUGUUUUCAAAAUACCCUCCCCGUUUAAAAGAGGUUUCGACAACUUGGCGACUCCACUGGGGAAUUUAUAAGAGAGUCAAGCUAAGAAAUUGAUUUUUUGUGUCUUAAUGUGAGAAGUUUGGAAAAAUUUUAAAAUAUCAAUCUUUUCACAUGUGUUUGCUACAUAUGUUUGUUAUUUUUUAUUUCGCACACAUUGCAUUUACAUGACCGCUGUGGUCGCACCCUUAAGUGGGAGUGAGAAGCUAUGCUUUCGUGAGGUUUUCACCUCCGUAUGGGCUAGUGGAUUACUUCCGGGAUACAUUUGUACCUAUGUCUUCGUGAGAUUUUCAUCUCCGUAUAGCCAUAGGGAAACGUGUUCCUCUGAACAGAACUUGGUCCAUAUGAGCCUAUAAUGGGUGAGGAUCGAGGAAUCUGCUGGUUCAGGUACCCUCGCUUUAGAACUGAAACACAUAUAGUGAACUUUAAGUGCUUACCCUAGAAAAUAUAGUGAUAGCCUUAGUAAGUUACCCUUAUAAGUACCUGUUUAUUAUACUCUUAUAUGAUACUGACUUAUUUUAUUUUGCUAUCAUUGCAUGUUACUCAACAUUUAAAGGUGUCGAUUCACGGUUCGAUUUCUAGAUUAGAAAGUUUUGUAAUGAGGGACGAAUAUCUCGAUAAAGUGGAGGACAACGCUUCUGUCUGUGCAUGGUCAGAGAAAACCCAGUUAGAAAAGGGAGAUAAUGUCACUGAGGGGUAUACGUCAGAGUUGUAGGACUUUACUCAUAUCACUUCAACACAGAAUAAGUUUCAGGAAUUGAAGGACAUUUGGGCCCAAUGGGAUGAUGAGGCUAAGCAGCUGCUCUACCAGGAUUAUGGAGAUCUUCCCUAUUUGCUAGACAUCAAGUUGGAUAAGUAUCUUGAUUUUUAACUCAAAUUAUUAUGGUUUUAAAAGAGAUCUUAUUUCUAAAUUUUUUUAAGCUUUUGAAAUUAAGACAAAACUAUUCAAUUUUGUACCAAUUUUGGACGUUGUGAGGGUGCUAACCCUUCCUCGUACGUAACCGACUCCCGAGCCCAUUUUCUCAUAAUUUCGUAGACCAAAAUGUUUUAUAAGGUGAUCCAAUCACACUUUAAAAGGUUGAUGGCGGCUCCUGUUUUCAAAAUACCCUCCCCGUUUAAAAGAGGUUUCGACAACUUGGCGACUCCACUGGGGAAUUUAUAAGAGAGUCAAGCUAAGAAAUUGAUUUUUUGUGUCUUAAUGUCAGAAGUUUGGAAAAUUUUUAAAAUAUCAAUCUUUUCACAUGUGUUUGCUACAUAUGUUUGUUAUUUUUUAUUUCGCACACAUUGCAUUUACAUGACCGCUGUGGUCGCACCCUUAAGUGGGAGUGAGAAGCUAUGCUUUCGUGAGGUUUUCACCUCCGUAUGGGCUAGUGGAUUACUUCCGGGAUACAUUUUUACCUAUGUCUUCGUGAGAUUUUCAUCUCCGUAUAGCCAUAGGGAAACAUGUUCCUCUGAACCGAACUUGGUCCAUAUGAGCCUAUAAUGGGUGAGGAUCGAGGAAUCUGCUGGUUCAGGUACCCUCGCUUUAGAACUGAAACACAUAUAGUGAACUUUAAGUGCUUACCCUAGAAAAUAUAGUGAUAGCCUUAGUAAGUUACCCUUAUAAGUACUUGUUUAUUAUACUCUUAUAUGAUACUGACUUAUUUUAUUUUGCUAUCAUUGCAUGUUACUCAACAUUUAAAGGUGUCGAUUCACGGUUCGAUUUCUAGAUUAGAAAGUUUUGUAAUGAGGGACGAAUAUCUCGAUAAAGUGGAGGACAACGCUUCUGUCUGUGCAUGGUCAGAGAAAACCCAGUUAGAAAAGGGAGAUAAUGUCACUGAGGGGUAUACGUCAGAGUUGUAGGACUUUACUCGUAUCACUUCAACACAGAAUAAGUUUCAGGAAUUGAAGGACAUUUGGGCCCAAUGGGAUGAUGAGGCUAAGCAGCUGCUCUACCAGGAUUAUGGAGAUCUUCCCUAUUUGCUAGACAUCAAGUUGGAUAAGUAUCUGUUUCGAGCUAUGGUAUAGUUUUGGAACCCUGCUUAUAGUUCUUUUACAUUUAGAGAGGUAGACUUAGUAUCUACUUUGGAGGAGUAUACGACCUUACUCUGCUGUCCAAAAAUCCAAGGUAACAAGGCAUAUGUUAGGGCUGCUAAUCUCCCUACUUUCGUGAAGAAAUUAAUGAUGAUCACAGGGAUGAGUGAACAGUGGGCCGCAGCUCGAGUCCAACAAAAGGGUGAUGGUAAAUGCAUUCGGUGGGCAAGUUUGAGGGAUUUGAUAUUGGCACACCCAGAUGUGAAGAAGAGGGUUGAUGUUUUGGCCUUAAGUAUUUAUGGUUUGGUGAUUUUCCCUAAAGCUAUUGGGCACAUAGAUGAGGCAGUUGCGGAUUUAUUCGAUCGACUCGGUAAACAGAACACACCUGUGCCUGCAAUCCUAGCUGAGACGUUUAGAUCCUUGAACGCAUGUCAGAGAGCUGGUGAAGGUAGAUUUAUUGGAUGUGCACAGUUGUUGCUAGUAUGCUUCCACAGUCACUUUUGGAAAGUUGAUAAGGUUCCCUGCCGAGUGUUCUUUGAGGAUUAUUCUCCAUUAAGUGAAGCAGCAGUUACACCGAGGAGGGACGACAUUACAGAGGAAAUGUGGAUGGAAAUACUUCAGAAUCUCCGAGAGGAAGAUGUAAUGUGGAAAGCCCCCUGGAUGGCUCCUAAUGAAAUCCUUUAUCGUUGCAGAAGUUUUGAUUGGGUACCUCUUCCUGGAAUUUGGGGAGUUGUUGGUUAUACACCAUUACUCGUACUAAGGCAAUACAAAGUGGGGCAGUUUAUACCGGCAACACAAGGUUUAGCUCAGAGUGAUUUCUCAUAUAAGGGGGAUCAGUAUAAGAAGAAGAUGCGAGAGAUUUUUGAGGCUUGGAUGAAAAUUUACUGUGUGAAGAUUCUGACUGAAGGACCAACGAUGACCCUUGGAUACAAAGAGUGGUUUAGUAAGAGGAUUAAUGAUAAUAUCCCUAGGCCAAGUUUGGGGGCUACUCGAUUGAUGGAGGAGAGUUUACGAGUGAUUCCAUCAGAGUUGAAGGUUAUAAAGCAAGAGUUUGAAAGGAAGAAUUUGGAGCUCGGGAGAAAGAUAGAGAAGAUUGAGGAGGAGAAGAUGUAUCUGAGCUUAGAGGUCGACGUUCAUAGAAUUGAGUCGAAAAAGAGAGGAAAGAAAAUAGGAAGAUUGAGGAAGACCGAGAUGACUUGAAGACGCAAUAUAAGAGGAUACAGUUGUCAAUGAAAAGAGCUAGAUUGGGGAAGUCUUCAGAACAGUGGCAAUAAGAGGUUCAAGAAAAAAGAGUCAAAGCCGAGUAUUGGGAGAAGAAGUUCCUAGAGAUACAAGCGCAUAAUCAGGCCUUAGAAAAGAAGAAUCAAGGAUUAAAAACUAAUGUGACUGAGCUUGGACGAUCUCUUCAUCAUCACCGAAGUCGUAACUCUGUGGUCGAGUUAAAGGCAAGCCUGGAUAAGAUCGAGGAAAUGAAGCAUAAUAUUGGAGGGUUGGAAGCAUCAUUGUAGAACUAUGAGCUACUAAUAGAGCAGCUCGAGGCAAGAGAAGAACAUUGGAAGGGAGAGCUUCACCUUUUUUAGGAUCAAGUCAGAGAUAGGGACUACCUCAUGGGAGAAGCUAUAGUACAGACUCGAGAGGUUGCGGAUCAUUUGCAAGACCUGGCAGCGCAAGGUAAUGUACUGAGUACAAAGUAUGAGUUAGUGUCAGAUAGAGGUCUAGAGUUAGCUUUGUUAUUGGAUAGGGUUAAAACACUGGGCCUGAGGGCGAAGGCGUAUUUGUAAUCCGUUUUGUGUAAAGAUUUUUGUUUCUUAAAUAAUGUUUUCUAAAGAAACUGAAUCAGAAUCGAUAUCUUUUUACAUUCAUGCAUUCACAUCUUAUCACAUCAUAUGCAUUCAAAUUUAUAGAAAGACCCUAAUUAGUUAAAAUUAUUAGGGAGAAAGAGAGAGUAAGAAAAAGAAAAUCUAGAAGCAACACAUCCUUACGGUAUACGCACUAAGACAAAGAAUAUGGAUCAAAGACUUGAGCAGAUCUAGAAAGAAAUGUAAGAGCAAUUACAGGAACAAUUGGUGAAAAUCCAACAGGAGAUGAAGGAUCAAAUGUUGGAGGCUCAAAGAAAUAUGAUGGCUGAGAUGGCUCAGCUGCUGUGGGGGGCAACGGAUAAAGGAAAGGCCCCUAUGACUACCACUGAAGAGGAUAAUGAGGAUCAUCCUCUUGGUUUUACUCCACCUCAUGUGCAGACUCAACCUGAGGCAUAUCCCUAAAGGCCGUCCGUUACUAUAAGGCCUCAAAAGGAGCAAGUCGAUACUGGAAUGCCCAUGAACUUUCAAACUGGUUCAGGAUUCAACCCUGGAGAUAACCCUGCCAAUCCAAUCAUCCCUGAUUUAGAUGUAGCUGAGAGGAAAGAGAUGAGACUCAAAUCAUCAAGGCAAUUAGAGGAACGUUGCAGAUGGUUACAAGAGAAAUUUAAGGCAUUAGAAAAUGCUAAUAAUCGUCAGGGAAUUGAUGCCAAGGACUUGAGUUUGGUCCCAAAUUUAGUGCUUCCUCAUAAGUUCAAGAUGCCGGAGUUUGAGAAGUACAAUGGGACUACUUGCCCUGAAGCCCAUAUCACCAUGUUCUGUAAGCGGAUGACUGGUUAUGUAAACAAUGAUCAAUUAUUGAUCUAUUGUUUUUAAAAUAGUUUGGUUGGGGCAGCGGCUAGGUGGUACAAUCAAUUGAGUCGUGCAAGGAUUGAUUCCUGGAGAGACUUAACACAAGCUUUUAUGCAGUAGUAUAACCAUGUGACUGAUAUGACUCCUGAUAGAAUCACUUUGCAGAACAUGGAAAAGAAGCCUAAUGAGAGCUUUAGGCAAUAUGCACAGAGAUGGAGGGAGGUUGCCAUGCAAGUUUAACCACCGCUUUUGGAGAAUGAGACUAUCAUGCUGUUCAUUAACACCUUGAAGGCCCCAUUCAUUACUUAUAUGAUUGGAAGUGCUACCAAAAGCUUCACUGAUGUAGUUAUGGCAGGAGAAAUGAUUGAAAACACCAUAAUGGGUGGCAAGAUAGAGGGGGAAACUGUUAAAAGAUCAGCCCAAGAAGGAAAGAUAAUGAGGUGAACAAUAUAAAUAGUUAUAAUUCGAAGGCAAUUACGGUUAGUCAACCCAGAGCAACUACAGUUGGGCAACAGGAUUCCCAAAAGCAUGGAUCUGGUUCGAGACAAAAUUCUAAAAAUGUCUUAUUUACGCCUAUCCCAGUGACGUAUCGAGAGCUUUAUCAAAGUUUAUUCAAUGCGCAUGCAAUAGCUCAUUUUCAUUUGAAACCAUUACAACCCCCGUAUCCUAAAUGGUAUGAUACAAACGCCAAAUGCGAAUACCAUGCGGGGAUAUCGGGACAUUCAAUCGAAAAUUGCACUGGUUUUAAAAAGAUAGUGGAAAGACUAAUCAAGAUGGAGGUCGUAAAAUUUGACGACACCCAUAGUACAGAUAACCCAUUGCCAAACCAUGGUGAUUAAAGGGUAAAUGCAAUUGGAAACACUAAUAUGAGAAGGAUCAAAGAGGACGUGGAGGAAGUAAGAAUGCUGAUAAAAGUAAUCUGGAAAGAAAUGGUGAAAAGAGAAAUGAUAAUCUCUGAAGAAGAAAAUAAAGGUGCAAGGGGCUACUGCGAGUUCCGUGAAGAAAAGGAACAUGAGAUCCAGGAAUGUGACGAGUUUAAGGCUUUGAUACAAAGCCUUAUGGAUAAUAAGGAGCUGGAAUUUUAUGAAGCUGGCUCAGAUGAGGGUCAUGUAUGCACAUUGGAAGAUGAACCCAACAAUCAAAUAAUCAACCGGCCAAGGAUCAUUAUUUCUCUACCAAUGAAUAAUGAAGUCGAAACAUAAACAGCACCGAAGGUUAUUACUCGCAAACUCGUUUUCUUUCCUUAUAAGGAUAACAAGAGGGUACCCUGGUAUUAUGACUGUAAUGUGACAAUGCCAGAGAAAGAGGCUAUAGCUAGUGCUUCUAAAGAGGCUCAAGAUAAGGGUUCUUACACACGUAGUGGGAAGCGUUAUAAUGUAGAAGGAGUCAGAGUUGAGCCUGCGAAAGCAAAAGCCUUUGACAAAGAAAAAGGGGUUGAAGUACUUGUUAAUGAGCCAGUAAAGGAAGAAGAAGCCAGAGAGUUUUUAAAAUUCUUAAAACACAGUGAGUACAGCGUGGUUGAACAAUUGCGCAAGCAACCAACUCACAAAUCAAUGUUGGCUUUGCUUCUGAGUUCAGAGGUACAUCGAGAAACAUUAAUGAAGGUGCUCAAUGAGACUUACGUUACUAAUGAUAUAUCCGUCAAUAAGUUAGAUCGAUUGGUUAGUAACAUAAGUGCUGACAAUUUUAUCUAUUUCAAUGAUGAUGAAAUCCCACUUGGUGGCAUAGGAUCAGCUAAAGCUUUACAUAUCACCACUCGCUAUAAGGGGUAUACAUUGCCGAGUGUGCUUAUUGAUAAUGGAUCAGCCUUAAAUGUCUUACCAUUGUCCACAUUGAAUAGAUUACCCAUAGACAGUUCUCACAUAAAAACAUGCCAUAAUGUAGUGAGAGCAUUCGAUGGCACGGAGAGAAAGGUCAUGGGAAGAAUUGAUAUUCCUUUGAUGAUUGGGCCAAAUACGUAUGAGGUGGACUUUUUAGUGAUGGACAUCAAGCCCUCUUACAAUUGCCUGUUGGAGAGGCCUUGGAUACAUUCGGCAGGAGUAGUGCCCUCAUCCUUGUACCAGAAAUUGAAGUUAGUAACGGACAGACGGCUAGUCACCAUAAAUGCAGAGGAAGACAUCAUAGCAGCAGUUACCAGCGACGCACCAUAUGUAGAGGCAAAUGAUAAGGCUAUUGAGUGCUCUUUUCGUUCCUUAGAAUUCGUCAAUGCAACAUUCAUUUCAGAGAGGAAGGAGGUGUCAGUACCCAGGAUAUUCAGAACCACAAGAAUGGGUUUACAGAUGACAAUGGGGAAAGGAGCUUUGCCAGGAAAAGGAUUGGGAAGAUAUCUUUAAGGAAGGAUUUAGAUUCCAGAAUUAAAGGAGAAGAGAGACCAUUUUGGCUUGGGUUUCAGGCCAGAUCACAAGCAAAGGAGGAAGGAAAUAGAGAAGCGUCAGGAAAGAAGAAAGACGCAUUUAAAUGGAAGAGAAGUAGAGUGGGAAUUGAUGACAUUCCCUCAUAUAUCCCAAACUUUUAUAUCAGGAGGGAUAAUUUACCCUAAGAAAGGGUUGCUCGAAAAAGAAAGUUAUCACAUCAAUGCUGUACAUAAUGAAGAGCCUGAAUGAAAAAACCUUGAGGGCAUUCGCCGUUAAGAACCGAGAAGCUCUUUAAACAAUUGGAUUGCAGAAGAAUUUCUUGUAGUUUUUAAAGACUUUUCAAAGUAAUUUUUAAAACACUCUUGUUGCUCUAAAGCCUGGGAGUAAUAAGGUUUCGUUUGUAAAAUAGGUUCAUGUUUGGAUAUUUGUAUUUCAAUAAAACAUCACUUUUGUUAUCAAUCCAAGUGAAUAUCCUUUUAUACCGAUCAAUAUUCUUUUGACCUUUUUAAAUUCUUUCAAAUUUUUCAUUUCAUACAUAACACAUAAAUGAACAUUCUUAAAAUUCAUUCAUUCUUUGUACAUUCUUUCGUACCCCGCAAGUCCCUAGAUAUCAAUGACAUGAGCACUGAUACUACAAAUCCUGAAUUCUCUUUUAAGUAAGACAUGUGUGUAGAAGAACCUCAGGAUUUUGAAGAUGACGGGAAUUGUGAUGUGUCUCCAAAUCUGUUGAGAAUGGUGAAACAAGAGGAGAAACAAAUCCUACCCCGUGAGAAAGAGGCAAUAGAGAAUGUAGUCUUGGAAGAAUGAAAAGAGGUAAAAAUAGGGACACAUAUUGCAAAGGAAACGAGACAAGGUCUUGUUGAGCUACUACGUGAAUUCAAAGAUAUAUUUGCAUGGUCAUACGAGGAUAUGCCGGGACUGAAUACUGAUAUCGUGGUACAUUGUCUCCCCAUAAGACAAGAUUGCAAGCCGGUCCAACAAAAAUUACGAAGGAUGAGGCCUGAUAUUGUGCUGAAAAUAAAAGAUGAAGUCAAAAAGCAGUUUAAUACUGGAUUCCUACAAGAGGUUAAGUAUUCAAAAUGUGUGGCUAACAUUGUGCUUGUCCCUAAGAAGGAUGGGAAGGUACGAAUGUGUGUUGAUUACAUAGAUCUGAACAAAGCUAGCCCAAAGGACAACUUUCUUUUACCGCACAUCGACACUUUGGUGGACAAUACAGCGGGAUAUUCAUUGUUUUCUUUUAUGGAUGGCUUCUCAGGGUACAAUCAGAUAAAGAUGCAUCCCAAGGACAUGGAUAAAACUACCUUUAUAACAUUAUGAGGCACCUUUUGUUACAAGGUAAUGCCCUUCGGGUUAAAGAAUGCAGGGGCAACAUACCAAAGGGCUAUGGUGAACUUAUUUCACGAUAUGAUGCACAAGGAGAUUGAAGUGUAUGUUGAUGACAUGAUUGCUAAAUCUCGAACAGAGACAGAGCAUAUUGAAGUCUUGAAGAAGUUGUUCAUAAGAUUAAGGAAGUUUCAGUUGAAGCUUAAUCCAGCAAAGUGCAUUUUCGGAGCUAGGUCGGGGAAAUUAUUGGGCUUUGUGGUCAGCGAAAAGGGAAUAGAAGUUGACUCAGACAAGGUUAGAGCCAUACGAGAAUUGCCUCCACCACAUACUCAAAAGGAAGUUUGGGGUUUUCUUGGAAGAUUGAAUUAUAUUGCUCGGUUUAUUUCACAAUUAACCGAUAAAUGUGAUCCUAUAUUUCGCCUCAUUAGAAAACACAACCAAGGUAUAUGGAAUGAGGAAUGCCAGAAUGCUUUUGAUAAGGUUAAGCAAUACUUGUUAAACGCUCCAGUAUCAUCUCUGCCCAGUCCAGAUAGACCAUUAAUUCUGUACUUAUCAGUGUUUAGUAAUUCUAUAGGGUGUGUGCUUGGUCAACAUGACGAGUCAAGAAGAAAGGAGAAGGUGAUAUAUUACCUUAGCAAGAAAUUCACAGAGUGUGAGAUGAGAUAUUCACAAAUUGAGAAGUUGUGUUGUGCUUUGAGCUGGACGACUCGAAGGUUGAGGCAAUAUAUGCUAUAUCAUACAACUUGGCUAAUUUCGAAACUUGAUCCAUUAAAGUACAUGAUGGAGUCAACAGCCCUAAAUGGAAGAAUGGCAAGGUGAAAAGUACUACUUUCAGAAUUUGAUAUAGUCUAUGUGAGUCAAAAGGCUAUAAAAUGGAGCGCGAUAGCAGAAUUUCUGGCUAGCAGAGCUCUAGAAGAUUAUGAGCCGUUAAGCUUUGAUUUUCCUAAUGAGGAGUUGAUGUAUGUGGCAACUAUUGAAGAACGUCCAUGGAAGCUAAACUUUGACGGCGCAUCCAAUGCGGUAGGAAAUGGAAUUGGGGCAGUCUUGGUAUCCCCAAAUGGUGAUCAUUAUCCAUUUACAUGUAAAUUAGAUUUUCACUGUACGAACAAUAUGGCUGAGUAUGAAGCAUGCAUCAUGGGGAUUCAAGCGGCCAAAGAGCGAAAAAUUAGAACCCUGGAAGUGUAUGGAGACUUUGCGUUGGUAAUAUACCAACUUAGGGAUGAAUGAGAGACAAGGGACCCCAAAUUGAUUAAUUAUCGAAGGGUAGUUUUGGAGUUACUUGAAGAGUUUGAUAACGUCACUUUCAGUUAUCUCCCACGAAACGAAAAUCAAAUGGCGGACGCUUUGGCAACAUUAGCUUCCAUGAUUAAAGCAAAUAAACAAGAGGAGGUGAGACCAAUUCAGAUGAGCGUUUCUGAGGUUCCAGCUCAUUGCUGUAAUAUCGAAGAAGAUGAAAAGGAUGACCAUCCUUGGUAUCAAGAUAUAUUACGGUAUGUGAGAAAUCGUGAAUAUCUUGAGCAGGCAACUGAGAAUGACAAAAGAACUUUGAGAAGGUUAGCCUGCGAAUAUGUACUAGAUGGAGACAUCCUUUAUAAAAGAAGGAAAGAUCAGGUACUCUUAAGAUGCGUCGAUGCUGUGGAAGCUAGACAAAUCCUGGAAGAAGUACAUGAAGGUGUUUGUGAGACACAUGCUAAUGGCUUUACGAUGGGCAAGGAAAAUCAUGAGGUUUGGAUAUUUUUGGUCUACUAUGGAAAGAGAUUGUAUCAGCUAUACUAAAAAAUGUCAUAAAUGCUAGAUAUAUAGGGACAAGAUUCAUGUACCACAUUCACCCUUAUAUGUUAUGACUUCUCCAUGGCCCUUUUCCGUGUGGGGCAUGGAUGUCAUAGGGCUAAUAUCACCAAAGCUUCGAAUGGGCAUCGUUUCAUUUUUGUGGUCAUUGACUACUUCACAAAAUGGGUAGAGGCAGCUUCAUAUGCUAGUGUUACCAAGUCGACUGUAAGUUGUUUCUUGAAAAAGGAGAUUAUUUGUCGGUAUGGAAUGCCUGAGAGGAUUAUAUCGGACAAUGCAUUGAACUUGAAUAACAGCAUGAUUGUGGAAGUUUGUAGCCAAUUUAAGAUCAAACAUCAUAAUUCAUCUCCAUAUCGCCCAAAAAUGAAUGGGGCAGUGGAAGCUGCCAUCAAGAAUAUUAAGAGCAUAGUAGGGAAAAUGACUGAGACCUACAAAGACUGCAUGAGAAAUUACCAUUUGCACUCAUUGCCUAUCGAACGUCAGUCAGAACCUCUACUGGGGCAACACCUUUCUCAUUGGUUUAUGGGAUGGAGGCAGUGUUGCCCAUUGAAGUAGAAAUACCUUCUCUUCGAAUUUUGUCAGAAAUAAAGCUGGAUGAAGCAGAAUGGAUUCAAUUGCAGUAUGACUAAUUGAACUUGAUUGAAGAAAAGAGGCUAAGGGCUAUUCGUCACGGUCAGAUAUAUCAGAAGAGAAUUCCACGAAGGGGACCUUGUAUUGAAAAAGAUUCUUCCCAUAAGAAGGACUUUAGAGGAAAAUGGAUGCCAAAUUGGGAAGGACCGUACGUUGUGAAGAAGGCUUUCUCUGGUGGUACACUGAUUUUGACAGAAAUGGAUGAGAAAAGUUUACCCAAUCCAGUGAAUUCAGACUCAGUCAAGAAUUACUUUGUCUAAAGAGAAAGGAAGUCAAGGUGAAAACCCACAAAGGGCGCUUUGAGAUUUCUGAAAACUUCUAAAAAAAAUAGAGAGGCCAAGGUGAAAACCCGUAAAGAGCGCCCUGAGACCAAAGGGGUUUUGAGUUGAAAACCCGAAAUGGCUGUUCAAAUUUUAAAAAGCAUGCAGUGACCUUGCUAUACUAGAUUUGACAAGAAAUGGAGUAUGUUACAUACUAGGGCAUCGACAAAAUACUUUGAAUCUUCUAAACAAAUGAUAAACUCAAAACAGUCUUCAUGGAAUUUGUAUAUAGAAGCCCAAGCUGUGAUAUGUUGGAUAUGUGAUUUUUGUUCUGUUUACUAUCUUUGGAUUCUUUUUCUUCUCAAAGAUAUGUUUUUAGAUUAAUUUCCUAUUGUAUUCUGAUGAUUUAUUUAACUAUUCUCAAGAUUAAAUUAUUUGUCUUCCAUUAUUCAUAAAGUGUGUUACAUUGAAAUAAUGAUUGAUGAACUAAAUAUUUUUACAAACGAAGUUUUGCAUAUUACUCUGAAAAUCUCUAGAGAAUACAAGAAACUAAAACAGAACAAUUGUUUGAAGAAUUCCCAUGAGUGAGGGUCAGAGGUAUUCAAGAAAAUUUCUUCAGUUCAAAGGAUAAUUGGACAAUUCAAACGAUUCAAUCUUAGGAGAGGAUCGUCUCCAGCAGGUCGUAACAUUCGGAGAAUGGUACAAUAGGACCAAUCUGAUUCAAAACACAUGAGCAAAGUAUGAUUGAUACUUUGAGUAAAAUAAAGGUGGAACUUUGAUGGAUGAACGAGUAAAGACGUCCGAAAUAGGAAUCAUUUUCAUAACAUUUUGCAUCAUAGUAUGUCUAUUUAGGAGCAUUUGACUCAUUUCGGUCAUGUCACCUUAAUCAUCGGGCAUGAGCACAUAUGCAUUCUACAGGUUACGCCCUUUAAGGGACAAUAUAGAUCACCGAUAGUAGAUUUGGCGUCUCUGUAUUGACAGAGAGCAGAUCGAAGAUAACAGAUUUGGCUUCUCUGUAUUGACAGAGAGCAGAUCGAAGAUAACAGAUUUGGCGUCUCUGUAUUGUCAGAGAGUAGAUCGAAGAUAACAGAUUUGGCGUCUCUGUAUUGUCAGAGAGCAGAUCGAAGAUAACAGAUUUGGCGUCUUUGUAUUGAUAGAGAGCAGAUCAAAGAUAGCAGAUUUGGCAUCUCUGUAUUGACAGAGAGUAGAUCGAAGAUAGCCAAUUUGGCGUCUCUGUAUUGACAGAGAGCAAAUCGAAGAUAGCCGAUUUGGCAUCUUUUUAUUGUCAGAGAGCAGAUCGAAGAUAGUAGAUUUGGCGUCUCUGUAUUGUCAGAGAGCAGAUCGAAGAUAGCAGAUUUAGCGUCUCUGUAUUGACAGAGAGCAGAUCGAAGAUAGCAGAUUUGGCGUCUUUGUAUUGACAAAGAGUAGAUUGAAGAUAGCAGAUCUAACAUUUGUAUGCUUACAUCGAAGCAGAUUGAAGAUGACAGAUUCAGCUUCUCCAUAUUAGGCAAGGAGAAGAUCAGAGAUUUCAGCUUGGCAUUCCUGAGUUUGCAGGGAGCAAGUUGAAUAUAGCAGAUUUGACAUUCCUGGGUUACGGUGAAGCAAGUUUGAAGCUAUCAGAAUACCUUUGAAGAAGAUGAGGAUCAAGAUUUCGAGACCUGGCCAGGCCGGGCAAAAUUGGUCCUUUUAUAGUCUUUGCUCUAUUCCUGUUACACAGUAAUGAGCAAAUAGGGGCAGCUGUAAUAACCCAAAUUUGCCCAGCCCAGAAAAUAAAAAAACAAAAAAUAAAAAGUCCUUUACAGUCCAUUUACAAAUCACGCCAGUAGCCCAUUACACUUAAAAGCCCUUUAACUUGAACUAAACCCAAAUUAAUGAGGCCAAGGAAGGCUCAAUGCCUAAACUGAAUCAGGAAACCCUAGGGUUUCCAGAAGCUUCGCGCCGCAAACUCCAAACGUCACGCCCCUUCGUCUCGCGCAAUUUCAGUGAACCCUCAUCGACGCCUCCAUCGGUGCCGUGACUACCGUAAUCUGCCCGCGAAUCAACACCCUAUCGUCACCGAAUUUCUCGCUGGUACCUGCAAAAAAGGAAAGAAGAACAACAGAGGCAAUACAAAUAUGGCAGGGAAUAAAAUCAAACAUGUUAAAUAUUAUUUUCAGUGGCUAUAAAAGCCCGAAUCAAAAUGAUGUAAAGCACGGUUUUUUUUAAAUGGAGAUAUACAAUAAAGAAUAAAACAGUUUAUCAAAGAAAACAGAGGUGAUUAGUUCUUUACCUUUUCUUCUUGUUGCAAACAUAUACAAAUUUUAUUAAAAUAAAAGGAAAGGGAGUUUACUAUUGGAUUUGCGCUAAAAACCAGAAGCUUUUCGGCUUUCGGCCGCCGUAUCUAGCGGAGUUGAAGACGGUACGUGGACGCGUGAGUCUGAUGACCGGGCUUGGCCCGACGGAGGCUGGAGCCCAGAGGAUUUCCUCUCUUUUCCUCUUUCAGAGGAUUUCUGUUCUUCUUUUUUUAAAACCAGGGGCUAAAAUGAUUUUUUAAGUUUUUUUUUUACAUUUAUAAGCUACCUAUAUGACGUCGUUUUGGGAUGACCGUUUAGUGACCAAACGGUGUCGUUUCAGGGCUGAGGAUCCGCGCGUUGACCCGUGACCUGGGGAGGAUCCGCGCGUUUUUGAUAAAUGGGAAAAUUACUGUUUGAGCCCUUCCGCAUUUUUCGUUUUUUAAAUGUCGUUUAAUUCUAAAUUUCUCUAUUUUUAAAUCUGGCCCUAAUAGUUUGUUUCUGUUUCAAUUUGGUUCCUGAACCCUUUAAAGUGUAAUUUUUAAAACGGCGUCGUUAUGGGAUUAGGGAUAAUUGCCCAGUGAGUCCCUCGUUUUUUGGCGCGCGCUUUAAUUGGAUCCAAAAUUCAUUUUAUUUUAAAAUUAACCCUAAAGUUUUUUUAUUUCAUUUUAAUCCUUUUGAUUUUUUUAUAAUUUAUUUAAUUUAAAUAUAAUAUACAAUAUUUAUUUUUACCAUAAACAUUAUCUAUAUAUGAAAAAUUAUUAUAUAUUUUUUUAUUUUUUAUUUGUGUAUUAUUUGUUAAAUCAUUUACAUUUCAUUAUAUAUUUUGAUUUAUACAUUUUAUUAUAUAUCAUUUUAUUAUAUAUUAUUGUUAUUUUAUUAUAUAUUAUAAUUAUUCAUUAUUUAUUAUUAUAUAAUUUUCAAAUUUGUAAAUUACUAUUAAAUAUUGCAUUUUUAUAUCAUUAUUAAAAUUUAGUAUGUAAUACACUAAAAUUUAUAAUAAAGUUUUAUUCCUAUUAUACAAUAUUAUUUUAUAAAACAUAUUAAAUUAUUACAUCAUAUAGUCUAUUUUUUAUUAAUCAUAUAUAAAAUCUUCUUCUUUACUAUUUAUCUAUGGUUUUAAAUAUUUUUUAAAAAUACCUCAUUUAAUUUUUAUUGUAUUUUAUUUUUUAUAUAUGUUUAUAAUUUUUUUAUUUAUUUUUGCGUCCUUUUGGAUUUAUUUAGUAUCGUUUUAAUAUGUUCUCAAAGAUUAUUUGUAUUUUUAUGUUAUUUACUAUUUAUGUAUAUUUGCAUGAAAAUUGACUAUUUAUGUUGUUAUUUUAAGUUAUAUUUAUAUGUAAUAUUAUUGUAUACAUAUUAUGCAAUUUAUAUUGUUAUAUAUUCAUUAUGCUCUAUGUUGUAUUUUGCAUGUAACAAUAAUGCAUGUAUAUUUAUGUUAUUUAUGAUCAUAUAUGCAUAAAAUGAUAAUGUAUAUUGUGUAAUUUAUGUCAUUAUUUAUCAUUUUUUAUAUUAUAUUUGCAUGGAAUGAUAAAGUAGGUAUCAUGUAGGUUAAUUUAUUUAAUAUUGAUCCUUUGUAAUAAGUUGAAUGCAUCAUCACUUUAAAGAACUUUUAUAUCUCAUUCGAUCCAAAAGAAUAUAAAAAAUAAGGCAAUGUUUUUUGGUACUUAGGAAUUCGGGAAGUAGUACCCUAACAUGCUGGGUUGCGAUUUCCCGUUUGUCUAAAUGCCUAAAAUAUCCUUCUAAAUAAGUUUUGAAAAUCACAAGAUGAUUUCAGUUACGAAAGUUUAAGAACAUCGUGUCCAAUCAUGCUGGAUGUGAUGUUUAUAUUCUUUUGAAGUGAAGGAUUCUUGAUUUUUAACUCAAAUUAUUACGGUUUUAAAAGAGAUCUUAUUUCUAAAUUCUUUUAAGCUUUUGAAGCGAAGGAUUCUUGAUUUUUAACUCAAAUUAUUACGGUUUGAAAAGAGAUCUUAUUUCUAAAUUCUUUUAAGCUUUUGACAUUAAGACAAAACUAUUCAAUUUGGUACCAAUUUUGGGCGUUGCGAGGGUGCUAACCCUUCCUCGUACGUAACCGAAUCCUGAGCCCGUUUUCUCAUAAUUUCGUAGACCAAAAUGUUUUAUAAGGUGAUCCAAUCACACUUUAAAAGGUUGGUGGCGGCUCCUGUUUUCAAAAUACCCUCCCCGUUUAAAAGAGGUUUUGACAACCCCCAUAUUUUAUUUGGCACAUUGUCCUUAAUGUGCUUAAAAAUAAAAUAAGGAACGAAAUUACCUAAUUUGGCGUGAUAGUCCAUGAACAAUGUUGGGUAGCCUUGUCCUCCCCGAUUUAACUCCAAAAAAUUUUGUAUCAUCCAAAAUAUAGGAUUCUUACACAGAAAAACACAUUUUUUUAAAGAAUCUUAACUCGAUGUCGCAACAUUAACUUCAAAGUUCCUAGCUAAUUGGUUCAAAAUCUAGUAUCGUGACAUUGAGAUUCAAUUUUGUGACAUUCUCCUUGUAUUUUAACUUUGAAGUUCCAUGUCAUGACGCCAGAGUUCAUCGUCGUGACUUUGAGUCUAGUUCUAUGCUUCUUCAAGUUUUUUUUUUGAGAUGUUCCACAAUAUCAACACCUACUUGUGGAAAACAACACAAACAAUCAAAAGGAACAAAACAAAAUUUUAAAAAUAAAAAAUAUAUAUUAAAUAAAUAAAUAAUAAAAUAAAAGGAAAAACUAGAGAAAAAAUAAAAGUUCUUUUUAAAGACUAGGACGAUCUGCAUCACAACCAUAGAAGAAUUUUCAGCUGGUCCUCGACACUUUGAUCCUUCAUUUGUUUCAUUGUUGAUGUAUCUGAACCAAUAAUUUUGGUCGAUUCUGAUGAUAUUGCCUUAGUUUUUACCGGCGUGACAUCUACAUUACGAGCUAUUUAAUGCCAAAGUUGAGCCAACCGCAAAUGGUUUUUUGGGAUAUUAUUAGCUCGAGCUUUUUCACCUCAAUGUCACGUAAGGAUCUAUCAACCUAAGUUUUGUCAUCGUCAUCGAACGAGAAUGAUAUGAACUCGUCAACCUCUUCGGUUGGCGUUUCCUCUUCUAUGGCCAGAAGGUGUGUCGACUCAUUGACACCUUCACUUAGAAUCAGUUUAAGCUCCAAGUUAAUGGUUAAUGUUACAUCUACUUCUAAAUCUACUAUUACAUCUAUGCCAAAGUUAAUUAGAUCAAAGACUACUUCGGCGAUCUUCAAUUCUUUCUCGUACCCAAUUUCAAACUCUAGCCAACUUUUGUAGUCUACUUACGGAUGGUCGAUAGUGCUACUAUAGGUUUCAUAAUUACAGUUGGAGGCAUCAUGUACAACCUUUUCCAAUGGGAUUUCUACUUCUGCUUGCCUUCGGAGCAAUUUCUCUAACUAGUCCACCUAUUUUUGAAUUCUUUCUAGGUUAGUUUGGAAUGCAUCCGACUCAGGAUGGAAUGUGGAUAAAUAUUCUCCACACCUUCGAUCAUGACUCCGCUGAUUCAUUGAAACUCCAUUUGUUCGACAUGAUUUUUUAUUGCUUCUAUGUUGUUCAUACAAAUAGCAGUAUACAUCGUCAUCCAAGAUUAAUUUGAAUUCUUUUUUGACUGAAUGUUUGGGCAUAUCAAAUUCUUCCUUAUAACUCCAUUGGUUCGUCAAAUCUUCGUUUGUCAAACUUGAUUCUUCAUUAAUGUUCCAAUCCAAUGGUUUUGUACAAUCUGGUUCAGGAUGAUUAAUCAUAAUACAAGGGUCUUCUAGUUGAAGUUAGGAACAUGAUGCACAACCUCAUCCAAUGGGGUUUGUUGUAGCUCCAUCGUAAGCAAUAUUUGGUUCUCCUCGAUAUCCUAUUCUUCAUAAAAUCAUUCCUUGUAUACUUCAUCAUCAUACAACGCAGACAUUUUGCAUUCUUCAGCCCAACUCUUAUUAUCAUCAAACUCAUAAUCAACCCAAUCCAUGAGUAAAUUAGUUAGUCAACAAGGUAGCUAAAAAUAAAAAUAACUAAAAAUAAUGAAAAAUAAAGUUAAUACACUAUCUAACUCAUUCGUCUUUCGAUUAAUAUUAUUUUACGAAGCAAUUAAUCUAAUAAUAAUUUUCACAGUCGCAAUCCUCGGCAACAACACCAACAACUUGAAUGCUACCAAAUGUGCGAAUGUUUGGACUGAAAAUACUGCAGCAAAAAGAUAAUAAAUAAAGCAACGGUGUCCACAAGUAUACUGGUCAAAUUGUAAUAUAGGUUGUUUACAACGAAACACGUGGAAAGUAUUCCAUGGAUUGUAACCAAGAGAUUGCAGAUUGGAGAAAUUUAUUAUUAGAUUAAUUACAGAAAAUAAGUACUAAUCUAAUCGAGUUCCGAAUUAGUAGUACAAAUCUAAAUUAAAGUAUUUAUUAAACUAAUUAAGUUAAUUAACCUAAACUAAGCUAAUGAAAUUUCCUAUUCCUAGUGUGGACAAUACAAGCUCUCGGCCUUUAAUCAAUUAAAUCCCUAAAUAACAACUAAGUCAUUAAUUACCCUCAACUGAGUUCUUUACCACCUUUAGCUACAAAUACCCUCUCGGUCUCAUCUUCACUAAGGAUUGCCACUUAAGUCACCCUCUGGUCUUUUCCUAGGCAUACGGAUAACUCUCGAUCUCAUCACUGGGCAUAAGUUACACUUAACAGACUACCCCCUUUUAGUCUCACCUUUCUUGAUAUUCUAUUAGGGAUGUCACUCUUUAAUAUAAUAAGUACUCUUGAAUGAACUCUCAAUUUUAGGUAAAUAAUUACUUAAUUAAUAAAUCAGAUUCAUAAGCGAAACAUACCAGAUAUAAAAUACGCACAACUUAUUCUAAUAUUCAUAUAAACAUCAAUUGAUCAGGCCAACGAAAAUAUAAAUAAAAGAAUAAGAAAAAUGGGAGAAAGCUAUUAAAUAAAUAUAGGUACAACUCCAGAGCAAUAUCCUCUCAUGAUCAUCUUCACAUCAGAACAGGAAAAUCUCGACUACACGAACAUAAAAUAAAACUACAAAGAAAACUAAAUAAACUAUUUAGUUCUAAAAUGUCUAACUUUCAACAACUGUCUAACGAAGUUAUAAGUGUUUAUAUACGCACAAAUUAGAGCAACCAUUAAUGUCAAUUAUUACUAAAAUACCCCUGAUACUAAUAAAUUUGUAUUUAGUAAACUGAAUAUUUAAAAUUUGUUCACGUGACCACUGUUGUGAGCAAUUUGUCACGAUGACGUCAAGACUCCGCGGCGCCAAAAUCCCACAUCGCAAUGUCAGCCCUAUUUUUAGCCUUUGAUGAUUCAAAGUUCGGUGUCAAGACGUGGUAUGUUGAUGCCGCGUCAUGACCUUUGUUCCUUGCAUACUUAAGCUUAAAUCGAUGUCCUACACACUCAAAUAACCCAUUAGUCAUACCCAAGGCCCAAAUUGGUCUUAUGGGUCGUUAAAAAACUGAAUAAUGGGUAAAAACACUUAUUUUACCGAAAUUAAACUUAAACUACUAAAAAUAGAAAACGAAAUAAACACAUAUAAAAGAGCUAGAAAAUAUGCUCAUUAAGUGCCAAAAUGACUUUAAUUUCCACAACGAAUUGUGGUAGAUUAAUGAUUCAGACUGUAGGAAAUGUAGAUGACUAGAAAAUCAUAUAUGAUGGAUGUUUCUACCUGGGCUUGAAUCUUGUAUCUUGGUAUAACAAGAAGCAAUCAUCCAUUUCAUUAUCAACAACAAAGGCAAAGUAUAUUGUAGUUGGUAGUUGUUUUUCACAACUACUUUAGAUGAAACAAAUGAUUGGCAAACUUUGGAAUUUGAAUUAUUUUAAAUUAUAUUUAAAAUAUAUUAAAUAAUCAAUUCAAAUAUUAUAAUAGAAAAAUAUUGAAUAUAAUUAAAUCAUUUUUAACAUAUUCAACAUACAAUAUAGUUUUACUUUAUUUAAUUAAUGAAAAGUAAUAUUAUUCAAAAAAAUAACUAAUUAAAAUAAUUAAAUUUAAUAUUAAUUAAGUAAUAAUUAAGAUACUUAGUAUUCUAUUCAUGUAAUACAUCAUUAAAUUUAGCAUAGCACAACUUUUGUCUAUGUAAAAAAAAAAUUUAAACUAAUAUUUGUGAAUUAUAAUUAUAAUUAUCAAAACUCUUUUUAACUAAUAAUUGUAACUUAAAUUUUAAUUGUUUUUAAAUUUAUAAAUAUCACAAUUUAUCUUUUAUUUCAACUUUUUAAAUUAAUAAUCCAAAAUAAAACAUGAUAAUUAUUUUUAAAUAUAAAUUUAAUAAUAUUAUCGAAAAUAAUAAGCAUUCUUGUGAGUUCAAUUUUUUUUUUCUUUCCAAACUCACACAUAUAUUAUAGAUAAACUACCCAUUUUCUACAAUAGUUAUCAAUUUACUAAUAUCUAACUUUAAAAAAAAAAUUAUUUUGAGAUAGCCAUCCAGUUAUCUUCACUUUAUGUGUCUUAUUUGAAUUAAUAUUUAGGAGAAUUUUUUUUCACAUGUGCAUACAUGUAAAAAUUUUGUAAUUUGAAAAUAUAUGUGUUCAAAAAUAACAUAUAAUAAAUAAUGAAACGUAAGUUUUGAAAUUAAUAAUAACAGCUCAUAUGCAAUAUGUAUGAAAUUAAAAUAAAAAAUAAUUUAAAUUGUAGGUAAAAGGAAAUUUAAAUAGGUAAAUACAUUAAAUCAAGAAUAUUAAAUGCACUAUAAUUAUUUAUCAUAGUGUUGUCAUUUCUCUUAAGAUGACUUGUGACACCAAUACAAUCAACGAUAUUAUCAAUAUAAAUAAUGUGAGUGAAAUAAUUUGCAUAAUAAUAUUAAAAUAUAUCAAAGUAUCAAAAGAAAGCUUUGAUAGAAGUGAUAAAGUAAAAAUUUUAUAAAUAUUGAUAGCAUGACUUCAAAUAUCAACAUAUGCAAAAUUUAUAUUGAUUUUAUUUAAAAUGUACAAAUACAAAAGAAUAAUUGUAAGAAUAUAACUUAUUUCAAAUAUAUUAAGUAAUUUAGUAAUUUCUUAAGUUGGUAACAAUUUGAUAUUUAAAUAAUAAUAUAUAUUAUUAAUUAAAUUGAGGUUACAAAUUAAUAAAACACAAAUUCAAUUUAAAAAUAAAACAAAAUAUUUUUUUUCUGAUUUUUGUCGGAAAAUAUCUUAUUUAUUUUAAUAAUUUAAACACCAUAGCUUUUCUGUGGUCCAAAAAACAGGAUAAGACUGGCGUUGAAGGUCCUAGUCCCACCCAUGCCCAUGCGGGCCAUACUGUGUGUCGAUAUCCGACCCCGUGAUGUAAUAUCACUAUUGAAAUUAUAAAAAGUUGUCGUAUUUAAAAGACGUUUCACAUGCAUCCACUGUUCAAGUUGUUUUAGUUCAUACAAACUAUAUGCAUAUUCAAUGUAUGAAUAUGUAUUCCUUUUGGCAGCUACAACAUUCAACUUAAACUACUAACGAACAAAAAUGACCCUGUGAUAGAUUCAAUGUCCAAUCAAUGUCUUACUAAAUUAGGAUAUAUUCUAAAUCCAUCUUCGUAAUUGUCAAGUAGAAUUCACAUGAUUUCAGAUCUCCUACAAAAAUGGGAAAUCCAUUUGACCAAAGUGAUUAAUCUUGAAAACUAUUAGAAAAACUACUGCAACAGAAAGUGAAAGUCGAACCAAUUAGCAUUGCCAUAAACAUAAUAGCUAGUCAGGACAAUGAUUUUUUUUCAACCCCCCAGCUUGAUGCGGUUGCGAAAAGGACUGUUUUAAUACUAAAGUUAUACAGAAUUUUAAAUCAUACUAUGACGGUGGGAGAGAUGUGAAGAGUCACUAAAAUAAGAGUGAUUUAUACUGUAAAUUAUGUGGAGAGUCAUAAAAAUAUAAAUUUGAGAAGGUUAAGGUUAAGUUUUGAUAAAGUAUAGACUAUGUAUGGUGUAUGGCUCUCUUACUCCAAAGCUGAGGAGAGAUAUUUAUAUAGGGAGGUCAGUUGAGCAUGAGUCCUAACCAUUAAAUUUUCUAUCUCAUAAGUGCAAUAGUGGAGUGAUGGAUGUUAGUCGAGGGUAUUGAGUUAACUUGAAAGGGCUAGACGAGACAUUCGUUAAGUCAAUGUAAUAGAUUUAAGAGUGUCAUUAGAAACUCUUUCUCUUGUAACUCUUAAGGAUCAUGUGGCGCUUUGUAUGAUAGAAUGUUUAGGCAAGGUUAUUGUAAAGGUGAGUAAAAUCUAAUUCAAUUCGUAAAAUUCGAUAAAAAAUAUAAUUUUUGAAUUAAAUAGUUCGAGUUAUGUGAGUUAAUCGAGUUAUUUGGAUCAACUCGAAUAAAAAUUAAUUUUUUUUGUUUAACUCGAAUAUGAAUUACACUUUGAAUUAUCAGAAAAUCCAAAUAAGAAAAGGCAAAACUACAUUUGUUUUGAUAAAUAUUUACCUUUUCUAAAGUUAAAAGUCAAAACAUUUAAGGUAAAAGGUAAAAUUACGUCAUUUUAAUAAAUGUUUACCCAUUAAGUUAAAAGAUAAAACCAUUAUAUUGUUUAUAUAGUUAAAUAAUCUUGUACUUCGGCUACUAGUUAAACAAUUGGUCUAUGUAAAUACAACAUUAAGUAUUAAUAAUAGGAUUCGUCUACUCGACUCGACUUGUGCCGAAAAUUUUUUCCUCAAUUCAAUUUGAUUCGAAAAAAUUUUCAAAUUGAGUUUGGUUGCUAAAAUAGGAUUCUUUAACUCAAUUAACUUGAAAUUUUUUAACUCGAUUCCAAUUAACUCGAUCGAAUACUCACCCCAAGCUACUGCCCUCUUGGAGAGGCCACAUAUUCUUAUAGUUGUUGAAUGAUCCAGUGAGUCGGUCUAGGCAAGGGUAUAACAACUACCCCUUAGUUGAAAGACAGGUUACAAAGUGACCUGGCCUGAGCUAAUUCAUUAGCAAACCUUACUCGAACCUUGGUGAGGCUUGUAGAGGGUUUUGAAGUGUCAUCGUUAUUGUCUGAUUAUUGCACCUGUGUAUUGAUUACUCUUAGAUGCAUGUUUGUAUUUAAUUGAAAGAUUUUUUUAAACACAUUUCUCUUUAUUUUAUUGAGCCAAUAUUUAGAGAAAAAUAAUUUUGAAAUCAAGUUAAAAUUCGAUCUGACCUGCCUCAUGGAUAAAUUUAUAUCUAACUCUAUUUUACAAUAUUUUUAAUUUUGCCUCACCUGAAAAUGCUAAAUGGAACAUUCGCGAGCAUGUUAUAGAUUAAGGGACUCAUAUAUUCUCAUAUUCCUAUAAAUGUUGAAUAAUCGGAGGGGAUUUAAAAGAGAGGGUUAUAACAAAGACUAAUAUGGAUGUGGCUUGCUGACUCAAGUAGGGAAAAUGUGGCCAACAUGGUGUGGGAACCCGGCGGGUGAAGCGUCUUCGGCUCCACUUAGACCCCACACUCAUGCUUUGAAGGUUAAAUGUUGCGAUCUUUCAAUUCCAAUACAUUGAUAACAAUUUGCCUUUUUUUCUGAGGCCAGCGUUGAAGUUUCUCCCACUUGAUUUGCCAUUUGACAAGGAAAACUGGGCCAAUUGGAAUUCCCUGUUUAUCACAUAUAUUAAAUUAUUGGUCAUUCUAAAACUGUGACUGCUGCAGAUAUUUUUUUCUUCAUCUUUUUUAUAAACUGACCGUAAAAAUUUAAUUAAUUAUUUAAAUAAUCUAUUUUUUUAUAAAAUAUAAAAAUAACCUAAAAUCUAUCGUAAAAAUUGGUGAAAGUUAAAGUGUUUGGCACUACUAACAUAUCAAAUUAACAAUCAAGAUAAAAAAAUUAAUUUUUUAGCAAAACCAUUUAAAAUGACACCACCGACAUAAAUAUUAAGAAAAUGCUGCAAUUUUUGAAAAAAUAAAAAGGCUUUCAGCCAAGUUAUUUUUUUUAGUGAAGCCAAAUAAUUUGGCAUCACAUUCCAACACCCUAUCGUGCUUUUCCUUAUUUUUUUAUUUGUUUGUUUACAUUUAUUUUAUAAUAUUAUAAUAUAUAUUUUAAAUUUUUUAUAAUAUUAUUUCUUAAACUUUAAAUAUAUUUUUUAAAAUUUUAAAUAUGUACUUUUUAAUAUUAUAAAAAAUUUAAAACAUAUUAUUUUUAAAGAUAUGACAUUUUAAAUUUAUUAUUUGUUUUAUAAUAUUUUUAAUGUAUAUUUUAAAAUUUUUAAAAAUUAUUUUUAAAUAUAUUCAAACGUUUUUAAAAAUAAUAUUUAAAAUUUUAAAACAUAAUAUUUUAUUUAGUGGAAAAAAAACGAAUAGGCUAGAAAAAAGUAGAAAAAGAAAAAAAUGAAAAACAAAUAAAAAAUAGGAAAAGCAAAUUAGGCAGCAGAAUAGGGCUUUAGAAUCUAUUUAGCUCUACUAAAAAGGUAAAUUUACUUAAAGCCCUCCAUUUUUUUUCAAAAACCGUAGUAUUUCCCUAAUAUUUAUACAAGUGGCGCCAUUCUACAUGGCUCCACAAAAAAAUUAAUUUUUUUAUCCUGAUUGCUGACGUGACAUGUUGGUAGCACCAAAUAUUUGACUUCACCAAUUUUUAUUAUAAAUUUUAGAUUAUUUUCGAAUUUUAUCAAAAGAAUAAGUCAUUUAAAUAAUUAAUUAAUGUUUUAGGUUAGUUAAAAAAAAACCUAUUUUUAUGAUAACAACAAAAAAUAUAUAUAUUCAACAGUAGUAACUUAGAAUGGGAAUAUUCCAUAUGAAUGGUUUAAUAUCGGAAUUCGUUUUAUCAGUUUCACUAUUUGAAUUUUUAUAUGUUGUUUUAAAAAUUUUCAACAUAGUAAAUUCAGAUAUUUAACAUAAUAGAAUAUUGAUUUAAGGCUUUAAAAAGUGUUUAAUUUUUUUUAAAAAGUCAUUAAGUCUAUUUUUUUUUGUUUUUUAUUUUUUUGCACACAAUGUAUAUUUGAUCUUUCAAAAUGCAUAAAAAAUACCUUCAAACUUUUUUAAGAAAAGCAAUUAAGCUCCUAAAUUUUUUCACCCAAUUGGGUACUUGAACUGUUAAAUGCUUCAAAAAUACCAUUUAACCAUUAACUUUAACAGUUGAUCGUUAAAUUUAAUUACCCCUGAUCUUUUUUAGUCAAAGCCACUUGUGUAACAACCAUGGCGUGGCAUGUGACAAAAAAAUUAUAAAAAAUAAAAAUCAAAAAAAUUUAUAAAAUAUUUAAUUUUAAUAAAAAUAUUUAGAAUUUAUUAAAAAUUAGGAUUGUUUUAUAAAUACCAUAAAAAUUAUAAAAUGCAUAAAAAAACCUUUAACUAUUAACUUUAACCGUUAAAGAUAACAGCUUCUUGUUUUUUUUAAUUAAAGUUAUCAUAUAUCGCAACACGGCAUGACAUGCUUUUUUAGUACAGUAAUUUUUAUAAGUCUUUUUCCAAUUUUAUAUUUCUUUAUUUUUUUAUAAUUUUGUUAUGACUUUAUAAAAUUUUAUAAUUUUUUUUCUAUAUUUCUAUAUAUUUUACAAUUUUUACAACUUUUAUAAAAUUUUAAAAUUCUUUAUAAAUUCUUUUAAGAUUUUAUAAUUAUUCUAAUUAUUCUAAUUUUUAAAUAUUUUAAUUAAAAUUUAAUAUUUUUAUAAACUUUCAUUGAUUUUUAUUUUUUAUCAUUUUUUGUUACAUGUCCUAUUGAGGUUGUGACAUGUGGUGACUUUAUCUAAAAAAAUUAGGAGUAGUUAAAAUACCCAAUUGAGUGAAAAAAGGACUUAAUUAUUUUUUUAAAAAAGUUUGAAGGUUUUUUAUGUAUUUUAAAAAUUUAAGUACCUAAUUGAAUGUAAAAUAAAAAAAAGUAGGGACUUAUUUAUUUUUUUAAAAAGUUUAAAUUUUUUAUAUAUUUUAAAAGUUUAAAUAUUCAAAUACAAGUGUAAAAGAAAAAAAAAACAAAGCUUAAUGAUUUAGUUUUUUGAAAAAGUAUACAAGGAAAUUUGAUAAAUUUAAAAAAUCCAACCGCAGCCGACAGAAUUUUGUCAUGUUUGUUUUAAAAUAUCUAGCUAAAAGACAAAGGGCCAUAUCGUAUCAAUUUUAUUGUUUUCAACUGUAACCCGAUUUGUGUUACCUCGUGAACACAACUUGUCCCUAAUUAUUCCAAUGAGGCUUGGCCCUUAAAGCCUAGUUAGGACCAAUUACAUCACGUAUGCGAGAAUUACGCACAUGCACAUGCGGUAACAUUUUCCCUAUAAAUUGCUGGCCUUUGCCUCCACCAUUUUCAUCAUUCCAGUUGCUCUCAUUUUUCUUUGGAAACAAAAAACAAAAAAUAGAAAAAAUAAAGAGCAAGAGAUAUGGCAAGCACAUUCUCUUAUAAUUCUUUUGGAUUCCUUCUCAUUCUUGUCGCCUCUAGUUCCUUGAUAAAUAUAAGUUCAGCUGGUAGGCAAAUUGCCCCUAAAACUAGCAUUGAGUUUAUCAGAACAUCUUGUAGUUCAACGACUUACCCUAAACUUUGUUACGAAUCUCUCUUAACACAGGCUAGCAUGAUCCAAACAAGCCCCCAACUCAUCGCCCAUGCAGCCCUAAACGUGACCCUUUCAACCGCCAAGUCAACCUCGGCCAUGAUGGUGAAGCUUGCCAAAAGCCAAGGAUUGAAGCCUACAGAGGUGGGCGCCAUGCAAGAUUGCGUGGAGGAAUUGGAGGACACGAUAGAUGAGCUGAGAAAGUCAAUCAGCGAGAUGGGUCAGAUUAAAGGCUCCAAUUUUGGACUAAUGAUUAACGAUAUACAGACAUGGGUUAGCGCUGCUUUGACGGAUGAGAACACCUGCGCCGACGGGUUUGGAGGGAAAAACAUGAACGGCAGUAUAAAGACUGCUGUGAGAUCCAAGAUUGUCACAAUCGCUCAUUUGACAAGUAAUGCCUUGGCUUUGGUCAACAGCUAUGCUUCAUUUCAUGGUUAGCUAUUUAAUCAACUGUACAGGGGAAAUUUAGUCAUUAUUUACGGUAGCAAUUGUAUUUAUGGAUUUUUAGAAACUACUUCUGUUUUCCUGGUAAAUGUAAAAUAUAUAUGUGGUCCAAAGAAGGGAAUGGAGAUGUGUGUGUGUGUGUGUGU